UUCAGAAUCGUUAACGAAUGUUGCGCCAGGAUUUAGCAUAUCCACAUAUCUUUGCAUAAUACUUGAUUCUUCGGAGUUAAGUUGCAAUGGCUCAUUUUGAAAUUUAGAAGAUGGAUAUAAUACGUUUUGUAAACCUAUGUAAAUUAAUAGACGCGUUCAAACUGUAUGCAUACCAUUUUCCAAUGGGAUUGAUGAUGCUAA